rnacentral:rRNA from 1 species
GAUGAACGCUGGCGGCGUGCCUAAUACAUGCAAGUCGAGCGAACAGACGAGGAGCUUGCUCCUCUGACGUUAGCGGCGGACGGGUGAGUAACACGUGGAUAACCUACCUAUAAGACUGGGAUAACUUCGGGAAACCGGAGCUAAUACCGGAUAAUAUAUUGAACCGCAUGGUUCAAUAGUGAAAGACGGUUUUGCUGUCACUUAUAGAUGGAUCCGCGCCGCAUUAGCUAGUUGGUAAGGUAACGGCUUACCAAGGAAACGAUGCGUAGCCGACCUGAGAGGGUGAUCGGCCACACUGGAACUGAGACACGGUCCAGACUCCUACGGGAGGCAGCAGUGGGGAAUCUUGCGCAAUGGGCGAAAGCCUGACGCAGCCACACCGCGUGAGUGAUGAAGGUCUUCGGGUUGUAAAGCUCUUUUGUUAGGGAAGAACAGAUGUGGAAUUAACUAUGCACGUCUUGACGGUACCUAAACAGAAAGCCACGGCUAACUUCGUG